rnacentral:rRNA from 1 species
CGGCUCAGUAACACGUGGACAACCUGCCCUUAGGACGGGGAUAAACCCGGGAAACUGGGUAUAAUACCCGAUAGGUCUCGAUUGCUGGAAUGCAUCGAGAUUUAAAGCUCCGGCGCCUAAGGAUGGGUCUGCGGCCUAUCAGGUAGUAGUGGGUGUAGCGUACCUACUAGCCUACGACGGGUACGGGUUGUGAGAGCAAGAGCCCGGAGAUGGAUUCUGAGACACGAAUCCAGGCCCUACGGGGUGCAGCAGGCGCGAAAACUUUACAAUGCUGGCAACAGCGAUAAGGGAACCUCGAGUGCCAGGUUACAAAUCUGGCUGUCGAGAUGCCUAAAAAGCAUUUCAUAGCAAGGGCCGGGCAAGACCGGUGCCAGCCGCCGCGGUAACACCGGCGGCUCGAGUGGUAACCGUUAUUAUUGGGUCUAAAGGGUCUGUAGCCGGCCGGAUAAGUCUCUUGAGAAAUCUGGCAGCUUAACUGUCAGGCUUUCAGGAGAUACUGUCUGGCUCGAGGCCGGGAGAGGUGAGAGGUACUUCAGGGGUAGGGGUGAAAUCUUGUAAUCCUUGAAGGACCACCAGUGGCGAAGGCGUCUCACCAGAACGGACCUGACGGCAAGGGACGAAAGCUAGGGGCACGAACCGGAUUAGAUACCCGGGUAGUCCUAGCCGUAAACGAUACUCGCUAGGUGUCGGCCACGGUGCGACCGUUGUCGGUGCCGUAGGGAAGCCGUGAAGCGAGCCACCUGGGAAGUACGGCCGCAAGGCUGAAACUUAAAGGAAUUGGCGGGGGAGCAC